GAUGAAGAACGUAGUGAAAUGCGAUAAGUAAUGUGAAUUGCAGAAUUCAGUGAAUCAUCGAAUCUUUGAACGCACAUUGCGCCCGCCAGUAUUCUGGCGGGCAUGCCUGUCCGAGCGUCAUUUCAACCCUCAAGCCCCAGCCGGCUUGGUGUUGGGGACCGGCCCCGGCCGCCCCCCAAAUGCAGUGGCGACCUCGCCGCAGCCUCCCCUGCGUAGUAGCACAACCUCGCACCGGAGCGCGGAGACGGUCACGCCGUAAAACGCCCAACUUCUCAGAGUUGACCUCGGAUCAGGUAGGAAUACCCGCUGAACUUAAGCAUAUCAAUAAGCGGAGGA
rnacentral:misc_RNA from 1 species